rnacentral:rRNA from 1 species
UACGUAGGGCGCAAGCGUUGUCCGGAAUUAUUGGGCGUAAAGAGCUCGUAGGCGGUCUGUUACGUCCGCUGUGAAAACCCAGGGCUUAACCCUGGGCUUGCAGUGGAUCCGGGUAGGCUAGAGGCAGGUAGGGGAGAAUGGAAUUCCCGGUGUAGCGGUGAAAUGCGCAGAUAUCGGGAGGAACACCGGUGGCGAAGGCGGUUCUCUGGGCCGGAACUGACGCUGAGGAGCGAAAGCGUGGGGAGCGAACAGG